AUUGAACGCUGGCGGCAGGCCUAACACAUGCAAGUCGAACGCGUGGCGGACGCGUGUGUGAUGUCUCUGAAACUCCCCGUUGGAGGGGGAUAUCUACUGUAAACGCUAUCUAAUAUACCAUACCACCUCAUAUGCCCCGAUGGGAUUAGCUAGUAGUUGGGGUAACGGCUCACCUAGGCGACGAUCCCUAGCUGGUCUGAGAGGAUGACCAGCCACACUGGAACUGAGACACGGUCCAGACUCCUACGGGAGGCAGCAGUGGGGAAUAUUGCACAAUGGGCGCAAGCCUGAUGCAGCCAUGCCGCGUGUAUGAAGAAGGCCUUCGGGUGGUAAAGUACUUUCAGCGGGGAGGCGUUACUCGCAGAAGAAGCACCGGCUAACUCCGUGCCAGCAGUCGCGGUAAUAC
rnacentral:rRNA from 1 species